rnacentral:rRNA from 1 species
CCUACGGGUGGCAGCAGUGGGGAAUAUUGGACAAUGGGCGAAAGCCUGAUCCAGCCAUGCCGCGUGUGUGAAGAAGGCCUUCGGGUUGUAAAGCACUUUCAGUGGGGAAGAAAGCCUUGGGGCUAAUACCCUCGAGGAAGGACAUCACCCACAGAAGAAGCACCGGCUAACUCCGUGCCAGCAGCCGCGGUAAUACGGAGGGUGCGAGCGUUAAUCGGAAUUACUGGGCGUAAAGCGCGCGUAGGCGGUCUGAUAAGCCGGUUGUGAAAGCCCCGGGCUCAACCUGGGAACGGCAUCCAACUGUCAGGCUAGAGUGCAGGAGAGGAAGGUAGAAUUCCCGGUGUAGCGGUGAAAUGCGUAGAGAUCGGGAGGAAUACCAGUGGCGAAGGCGGCCUUCUGGACUGACACUGACGCUGAGGUGCGAAAGCGUGGGUAGCAAACAGGAUUAGAUACCCCAGUAGUC